rnacentral:rRNA from 1 species
UCCUACGGGAGGCAGCAGUGGGGAAUUUUGGACAAUGGGCGAAAGCCUGAUCCAGCAAUGCCGCGUGUGUGAAGAAGGCCUUCGGGUUGUAAAGCACUUUUGUCCGGAAAGAAAUGGCUCUGGUUAAUACCUGGGGUCGAUGACGGUACCGGAAGAAUAAGGACCGGCUAACUACGUGCCAGCAGCCGCGGUAAUACGUAGGGUCCAAGCGUUAAUCGGAAUUACUGGGCGUAAAGCGUGCGCAGGCGGUUGUGCAAGACCGAUGUGAAAUCCCCGAGCUUAACUUGGGAAUUGCAUUGGUGACUGCACGGCUAGAGUGUGUCAGAGGGGGGUAGAAUUCCACGUGUAGCAGUGAAAUGCGUAGAGAUGUGGAAGAAUACCGAUGGCGAAGGCAGCCCCCUGGGAUAACACUGACGCUCAUGCACGAAAGCGUGGGGAGCAAACAGGAUUA